rnacentral:sRNA from 1 species
ACCUCACGUGCGCGUCUUUUACAACGAUC